rnacentral:rRNA from 1 species
UACGAAGGGGGCUAGCGUUGUUCGGAAUUACUGGGCGUAAAGCGCGCGUAGGCGGCGACCUUUGUCAGAGGUGAAAUCCCGAGGCUCAACUUCGGAAUUGCCUUUGAAACGGGGUUGCUUGAGUCCGAGAGAGGAUGGCGGAAUUCCUAGUGUAGAGGUGAAAUUCGUAGAUAUUAGGAAGAACACCGGUGGCGAAGGCGGCCAUCUGGCUCGGUACUGACGCUCAGGCGCGAAAGCGUGGGGAUCAAACAAG